AGAGUUUGAUCAUGGCUCAGAUUGAACGCUGGCGGCGUGCUUAACACAUGCAAGUCGAGCGGUAACAGGCGUAGCAAUACGUGCUGACGAGCGGCGAACGGGUGAGUAAUGCUUCGGAAUCUUCCUCGUAGUGGGGAAUAACCUGGGGAAACUCAGGCUAAUACCGCAUACGAACUACGGUUGAAAGCGGGGGAUCGCAAGACCUCGCGCUAUGAGAUGAGCCGAAGUCGGAUUAGCUAGUUGGUGGGGUAACGGCCUACCAAGGCGACGAUCCGUAGCUGGUCUGAGAGGACGACCAGCCACACUGGGACUGAGACACGGCCCAGACUCCUACGGGAGGCAGCAGUGGGGAAUAUUGGACAAUGGGCGCAAGCCUGAUCCAGCGACGCCGCGUGUGUGAAGAAGGCCUGCGGGUUGUAAAGCACUUUUAGUGGGGAUGAAAAGCCGAAGGCUAAUACCUUUCGGUCUUGACCUAACCCAAAGAAAAAGCACCGGCUAACUCUGUGCCAGCAGCCGCGGUAAUACAGAGGGUGCAAGCGUUAAUCGGAAUUACUGGGCGUAAAGCGUGCGUAGUCGGUUAUUCAAGUCGGGUGUGAAAGCCCCGGGCUCAACCUGGGAAUUGCAUUCGAUACUGUUUAGCUAGAGUUCGGCAGAGGGAAGCGGAAUUUCCGGUGUAGCGGUGAAAUGCGUAGAUAUCGGAAGGAACAUCAGUGGCGAAAGCGGCUUCCUGGACCAGAACUGACGAUCAGGCACGAAAGCGUGGGGAGCAAACAGGAUUAGAUACCCUAGUAGUCC
rnacentral:rRNA from 1 species